UACAGAGGUCCCAAGCGUUGUUCGGAUUCACUGGGCGUAAAGGGUGCGUAGGCGGUCGGGUAAGUCUGACGUGAAAUCUUCAAGCUCAACUUGGAAACUGCGUCCGAUACUAUUCGGCUAGAGGAAUGGAGGGGAGACUGGAAUACUUGGUGUAGCAGUGAAAUGCGUAGAUAUCAAGUGGAACACCAGUGGCGAAGGCGAGUCUCUGGACAUUUCCUGACGCUGAGGCACGAAAUCCAGGGGAGCAAACGGG
rnacentral:rRNA from 1 species